rnacentral:rRNA from 1 species
UACAGAGGGGGCAAGCGUUAUUCGGAAUUAUUGGGCGUAAAGGGCGCGUAGGCGGCUUUGCAAGUGACGGGUGAAAUCCCUCGGCUUAACCGAGGAACUGCCUGUCAAACUGCAUGGCUUGAGACCGGGAGAGGUGAGUGGAAUUCCCAGUGUAGCGGUGAAAUGCGCAGAUAUCGGGAAGAACACCCGUGGCGAAGGCGGCUCUCUGGGACGGUACCGACGCUGAGACGCGAAAGCGUGGGGAGCGAACAGG